rnacentral:rRNA from 1 species
AAACAUUAGUAUAUUAUGUUAAAAGUUCUCGUUUGAUCACUGAAGCUAAGUAGCGUUGAGCGCGAUUAGUAUUUGGAUAGAUGACCACUUGGGAAUACUGUCUACAGUUAA